GACGAACGCUGGCGGCGUGCUUAACACAUGCAAGUCGAACGGUAAGGCCCUUCGGGGUACACGAGUGGCGAACGGGUGAGUAACACGUGGGUGAUCUGCCCUGCACUUCGGGAUAAGCCUGGGAAACUGGGUCUAAUACCGGAUAGGACCAUGGACUUCACGGUUUGUGGUGGAAAGCUUUUGCGGUGUGGGAUGGGCCCGCGGGCCUAUCAGCUUAUUGGUGGGGUAAUGGCCUACCAAGGCGACGACGGGUAGCCGGCCUGAGAGGGGUGUCCGGCCACACUGGGACUGAGAUACGGCCCAGACUCCUACGGGAGGCAGCAGUGGGGAAUAUUGCACAAUGGGCGCAAGCCUGAUGCAGCGACG
rnacentral:rRNA from 1 species